UAAGUAAGUGGUGGAAAUUAAACCAAACGGGAUAUCUUUAGUAAUUGCGAAUGAACAAGGAUAUGCUUAGCUUGACAAAUGGAGCUAUUGGCUUUGAAUUGUAUUUGUGGAAUGUAUUACCAACAGAGGUGCAGGUGCCAGCCUAUUGAAAUAAAGCGUCAAUGAGGGUGAGAAUCCUGUUUGUCAUGUGCAGCCCUUUGUGCACGGUGUAUAUUUGCUGAGUCACACUCCUUGGCAUUGGAAUGCAAAGUGGGUGGUAAGUUUCAUGUAAAGGUAAACAUGCAAUUGAGACUGUUAGCACACAAGUACCAUGAGGGAAAUAUGAAAAGGACUUUGAAAAGAGAAUUAAAUGAGUUUGUAUUUGCUGAACACAAAGUAAACAGACUUGAUUUGCUUGGUGGGAGUGUUGCACUUGCUUGACAAGAGCUUUGGGCUGUGGGUGUAAUGAUUCUUUCUUUGCAUGCCAGUUUCUAUUUGUACAUCUGAUUACCUUUGCACAUGAAUGAUAAGUCUCCUGUGGGGGGUGGAUUGCAUGUGCAUGUAAUGAUUUGUGUUUUGAUAAAUGUGUCUGGUGUAUGUGUGUGUUCCUGUGCUUGGGGAUGCUUCCUUCCUUGGACUUACAAGCCCUGACACACACAUGCUGGCAAAAUGCUUCUGCUUGACCCG
rnacentral:rRNA from 1 species